rnacentral:rRNA from 1 species
UACGUAGGGUGCAAGCGUUAAUCGGAAUUACUGGGCGUAAAGCGUGCGCAGGCGGUUGUGCAAGACAGAUGUGAAAUCCCCGGGCUUAACCUGGGAACUGCAUCUGUGACUGUAUAGCUAGAGUACUGGAGAGGGAACUGGAAUUUACGGCGUAGCAGUGAAAUGCGUAGAGAUCGUAAGGAAGGCCAGUGGCGAAGGCGAGUUCCUGGACAGUUACUGACGCUGAGGCACGAAGGCCAGGGGAGUAAACGGG